UCUCCUUCCUGCCUCCAAGGUUGAUCAUCAUCAUGUUUGUGAUGCUGCUUGGUGAGAACCAGAUAGAAUUGGUUCUAAUCCUCAGAAGGAGAGAUGUUGGCUGAUCUCAUUUUGCUGCAGAUCCUCAUGGGACAUUGGUGCUGAGCCACAGAUUUGGGCAGCUGACAGGACUUCUACUUGAAGACCUAGACUCCAGCAAGCGACG